GUGAAAUAAAUCACAUAACAAACAUACACCCCUUUGUUUGAACGUGAACAUUUCUCCCAUCCCCUUUGUGAAAAGAGACGUCUAUUCUUGAAAAAGAAUUGGGCGUCUCU
rnacentral:sRNA from 1 species